CAGUGUUCAGGCCUCACCACGCGCUACUGGAGUAACACCCGUGUCAGUUAUGGAGCCUCACACAGCAGAUGUGUCCAGUAAAUACUGUGAAUAGUGUAUACUGUGUUUUGCUUUUGUUUUCUUUAGUGAUGAGGUCUCGUUAUGUUGCCCAGGCUGGUCUCAAACUCCUGAGCUCAAGCGAUCUUCCGUCCUCGGCCUCCCAGGUAGCUGGGAUUACAAGUGUGUGAUACUACGCCCAGCUAUACUGCAUUAUUGAACCAACUUCCUGGCUGUUUCCCCUACUCUGAACCUGGUGGUCUAUAACCCCUGACCACAGCUGUUCCUACAGUGGGAAGGGCCUGCUCAUCUGGGCUGUGGCUCCUGGUCCCGCUGCACCGGGGAGGUGGGGUCUUACCAGGAUCAAUAGGCAGGCAGUCACUUUCUUUUCAUAGGAAUCUUGUCGAUUGGCCUGGCUGCUGCCUACUACAGCGGAGGUAAAGCACCCCCUGCCCCACCCCCCCAUGACUGUCUCAGCUGUUUGGAAAACAGAGAAAAGAAGGAAAAACUGUCAUUUGUGACUGUCCAUGGGGCGGCCUUUAGGAUCGGCACUUCUGCCCCUUGAUUGCUGGUGGGCACCACACCCCUCCACACGCUGCUGUUCUUCCGCACGCCCAUCCUGCCCAGCGCCCAGCCCACAUUUCACUUCUUAAGUCUUCUGUGUUUUUGGGUCAUCAGAUAUUCCCGGAAAGAUGCUCUUGAGGAUCUGGCUAAGAUCCAGCUGUGGGGUGAGGCGUACUUCUCACCCUGCCACCAUCACUGGGCCUGCCCAGACGGGCAGAGGCCCUGUGCGCCCCACCUGCCUCUCUUACAUGGACUCUGGGGGUCAGAGCUGGGUGGGAUGUGCCGUGUGUGGGUCCUGAGUGGCCAGGGCAGGGUCAGCAGCACAGGAAGCUGCCCAGGGGGUCCUUGUAAGCGUGGGCUCUGGCCAGCGUCUGGGGGAGGCUGUGCUAGGCGGGGCCUCCCAUGGGCACGUCCCUGGAGCUCACAGGCUGGCGCCCUAUGUCCAUCUCCAGAUAGCCUGGGCUGGAAGCUCUUCUACGUCACAGGCUGCCUGUUUGUGGCUGUGCAGAACUUGGAGGACUGGGAGGAAGCCGUCUUCGACAAGAGCACAGGGAAGGUUGUUUUGAAGACGUUCAGCCUCUACAAGAAGCUGCUGACUCUUUUCAGAGCUGGCCACGACCAGGUGGUGGUCCUGCUGCAUGAUGUCCGUGACGUGAGCGUGGAGGAGGAGAAGGUCCGGUACUUCGGGAAGGGCUACAUGGUGGUGCUCCGGCUCGCAACGGGCUUCUCCCACCCCCUCACGCAGAGCGCGGUCAUGGGCCACCGCAGUGAUGUGGAAGCCAUCGCCAAGCUCAUCACCAGCUUCCUGGAGCUGCACUGCCUUGAGAGCCCCACAGAGCUGUCUCAGAGCAGCGACAGUGAGGCCGGCGACCCUGGGAGCCAGAGCUGACAGCCCCACUGUACCUGAUCCCGUGCACCGCCCACAGGACCCGUGGCACAUUCCCGGUGUGCCUGAGCCCGUGCACCGCCCACAGGACCCGUGGCACAUUCCCGGUGUGCCUGAUCCUGUGCACUGCCCACAGAACCCAUGACCUUGGCUUCAGUCGGUGCCUCCAGCCGAGUUGGCCUAUUGCCUGCUCAUGCUGCUGCUUGCACACUGCAUGAAACAGCAGGCCAGACCAGGACACCCAGACUUUCUCCAUCGUGAGGCCUGGGCCUGCCUUUCUGCAGCCGGAGGUCUCGCCAGCCCUGGACUCCUGCUGUGGGCCACAGCAAGACCUCGGGCAAGUGGAGAGGCGGGGCCAGGCCAGGCCCUUGUGGGUGCUGAUGCUGUGUGUUGUCCCCGACACAGCAGCCUCUCCCUGGUGGACAUCCCCAGCAGUCAGGUGCUUCCCCAAGGGCAGUGAGGUGUGAACAUCCGGGGCCUACCUGGCUGUGCACGCUGCAGCCACACUGGAAGCUGCCCCUCCCCGAGGACCCGCCUCCCUUGCUGAUGCCAGGAUCUCGGCGCAUAGACCGCUCUGCCCCAGUGGUCGUCUCAGAAAGGUCUCUCUGUUCGUCACACUCAGCCUCAGCAUAAGCUGUGAGGCCAGAAAAAAGGUCAGCUCUUCUAGUAUCGUGCAGCGCUUAGAAACCGGGAGCUCCAGCCGGGUGCAGUGGUUCAUGCCAGUAAUCCCAGCACUUUCGGAGGCCGAGGCGGGAGGAUUGCUUGAGGCCAGGAGUUCAAGACCAGCCUGGGUAACACAGCAAGAUCCUGUCUUUGCAAAAAAAUUGACCAAACAAGAAAAACUGGGAGAUUUUCUGCAGAAAUUGAGUUCCAGCCUCUCUCGAACCUGGGAAGACCUGGCAGGAGGGGCUGGGCUCUCCGCUACAGACUUCUCCCCACCCCGUAGGAGCUGAAUGCCAACCAUCCUGACGUGCCAGUGCUCUUGGUCUCCCAAGUGCACCCAGGUCCUCCCAGGUGCAGUGUGCACCGAACACGCCUGGCCUUAUGCCCUGGCCUGUGAGCUGGGGACUCCUGGGCCCUGUGAGCCCCUAGGCGGCAGGCCUAGGAAUGGCUGGGUAGGACAGGGAACGCCUUUGCCCCACGUCUGGCUGUGACCUCGGUGAAAGCCAACAGGAGAGAGAUGGGACCCUCCUCCUCAGUAGUGGCUGCCAGUCCCUCGUUGCAGGACAUGGUCAUCAUAACCAUAAAUAACCCUUCGCGUGUC
rnacentral:sRNA from 1 species